rnacentral:snRNA from 1 species
ACGCGCCUAACGGCGUGC